rnacentral:lncRNA from 1 species
AACGAAACCCAUAGUUCCACUCUUGGGAGCUUAUAGUAUCUUUAGAGAUGAUUGUGUAUAGUCAAUAGUCCAAAUUAGAGGUAUCGUGGCAGAGACGCCUGAAUUCAGUACUUAAUAUAAACUUAUGCUGAGCCAUUAGAACGACAUAGUGUAACACAUAUUUACAAAGCCUGGGAACAUAUUUACAUAGAGUAGAACAUUGAAAUACUUGCUAGAAAGAGUAGAAUUAGGACAUCGAGAUAAGUAGAUAGCACUAAUGGAGCACCCUUCCAACAAAACGGAGAGGAGGCUCAUCAUCAAACAUACGAUGGUACCAAUAUGGUUUAGGCACCGGCUACCUGUCGCCCAAAUUUUUCAGUGAAAAUUCACGUUAAGUAAAUAGGAAAUGAAUUUGCAGUGGGAAACAGCAAAAAUACCUGUUUUUCUUAACUGCAGCAUCACCCAUUAUGUCUAUGGGAUGGUUCAAUCCUCUUCAUCAUGCAAAGAACAAGCUAUUGUAAGCAUACCGAAUGAAUAUAUAGCCACACAAUAAGAACCGAGACAAUUUACAUAAAAAGAAAGUAGAACUCUUCUAAAAAAAUGCAGAACUGAGACAACACUUUAGGCAAAUUAAAGCUCGUACCUUUGAGAUGGGAGAUCAAUCCUGCUUAAAGCUCGUACAAUGAAUCUCCUUGGCAGGUAAGGAGUUCUGUUAGUUCUAUCAUAAAAGUUCAUGCCAGCAAAAGAUCCGUUAACGAAGUUAACAAG